rnacentral:lncRNA from 1 species
AACCAUGUAGUCGAGGAAGUGACGUGGGAAACGGAAGAACUGAUGAGGAGUCAAUAUCUGUACUUGUUUAUUUGGGGUUGUAAAUUUCGAGGAUGCAAUUCUUUUAAGGGGGUAUAUUGUGAAACCCCGCCCUUGAUUUAUCAUAUUUGGUACUAUCAGAUUUAUAAAGUUACCAUUAUACCUUUGAGUUGACUUUCGUUGAUUGUAUAGUCGAAAUGCAUAGUCUUAAGUUAAUUAUUUUAUUCAUAUCGUACUCAUCGUCAUGAACGCGUAGGCGCGAAUGGAUUCGAAAUCGGAUGUAUAAUAAAGAUUCUAUGUUCGAACCAUCGAACGUUUUCAGAUAUUUGUGUUUCGUUUUAUACAUUCUUAAAUUGCAAACCAAGGGGGACCCACUUGGGAUUCUUGUCCCCUUAUCUUUCUACCCAAUCCAGAUUCUCCCUUCAUUUUGGAUAUUUUCUUUAUAACUCUUUCUCUCUCUCCCCCUUACUUUCUCUCUUUCUCUAUUUCUCUUAAAACUCCCUCAUGCCUUCUCCUCUGCGAUCUUCCUCUCCUCUUUCUGAUUUCCAUAAGAACUUCAUUUGACCUCACCACUGGACGUAGAGGCUUCAAGAACCCCAGACCACACACUGUGGAACUCCAUAGUGAUAGUGUCACUGUUCAUUAUCUCCCAAACGAGCUUUGGCGACUUUUGAGGUUUUUCCGACGUAGGUAAGCUCCUAGAAACUCUUGGGAUGUGUUUUAAGGUUAGAUCAAAGCUUUUUUUAAGUUGUACACACUUGUUAAACACAAAAAUAGCUGGGAGUGAGCUUUCCCCAAUUUUCGAGGAGAACUAGUGACUUCCAGGCCAUUUUCCGACCAAACCACUCCGAGUUAGUAGUCAUUCAAGGUACCAUUCUUUUCAUCUUAUUGAAAACUAUGAUUUUCAUUUUUGAAUCACUCGUUUUGGUUGAGUAUUGAGGAAGGUUUAAGCAUUCAAAGUUUUGCCCAAAAACCGGUUGAUCCACAGCCUGAAAUCGG